GACGAACGCUGGCGGCGCGCUUAACACAUGCAAGUCGAGCGAUGAAACUUUAACAGAACCCUUCGGGGCGAAGAUAAAGUGGAUUAGCGGCGGACGGGUGAGUAACACGUGAGUAACCUGCCUUAGACAUUGGGAUAGCCUCGGGAAACCGGGAUUAAUACCAAAUAAAAUCAUAAUGACACAUGUCAUAACGAUCAAAACUCCGGUGGCCUAAGAUGGACUCGCGUCCCAUUAGCUAGUUGGUAGAUAAAGCCUACCAAGGCGACGAUGGGUAGCCGGCCUGAGAGGGUGAACGGCCACAUUGGAACUGAGAAACGGUCCAAACUCCUACGGGGAGGCAGCAGUGGGGAAUAUUGCACAAUGGAGGGAACUCUGAUGCAGCGACGCCGCGUGAACGAAGAAGGCUUUCGAGUCGUAAAGUUCUUUUAUAUGGGAAGAUAAUGACGGUACCAUAAGAAAAAGCCCCGGCUAACUACGUG
rnacentral:rRNA from 1 species